rnacentral:rRNA from 1 species
GAUUUCGCCUCGAUUCCUCUUCUUUCAUAUUCAAUUGUGCCCGACAAUUCAGAGAAUUUUCGUGUCGACAAUUUUCAUCACCCCGCUUUCCAUUACCCCUCCUUUGCAGCGACGCAAAUUUUUUUUGCUGCCGUUUGAGUUUUAGUGGGGUUCUCUGUGCAACCCCACUAGCUCACUGCUUUUUUUGUGCUUCACACUCACUUCCAAGUCAUCAUUCAACGUGCUCUGUGUCUUUGGUCAUUCAACGAUGCUAACCACUUUUCCAUCAAUAGGAAGCCGCCGAACUCGGCAAGGGUUCCUUCAAGUACGCUUGGGUUCUUGACAAGCUCAAGGCCGAGCGUGAGCGUGGUAUCACCAUCGACAUUGCUCUGUGGAAGUUCGAGACUCCCAAGUACUAUGUCACCGUCAUUGGUAUGUCUACUUCAUCAACUUCAUGCUGCAAUUGCAACCCAGUGCUAACAGGCAAUUCACAGACGCUCCCGGCCACCGUGAUUUCAUCAAGAACAUGAUCACUGGUACUUCCCAGGCCGAUUGCGCUAUCCUCAUCAUUGCCGCCGGUACUGGUGAGUUCGAGGCUGGUAUCUCCAAGGAUGGCCAGACCCGUGAGCACGCUCUGCUCGCCUACACCCUGGGUGUCAAGCAGCUCAUCGUUGCCAUCAACAAGAUGGACACUGCCAACUGGGCCGAGGCUCGUUACCAGGAAAUCAUCAAGGAGACCUCCAACUUCAUCAAGAAGGUCGGCUUCAACCCCAAGGCUGUUGCUUUCGUCCCCAUCUCCGGUUUCAACGGUGACAACAUGCUCCAGCCCUCCACCAACUGCCCCUGGUACAAGGGCUGGGAGAAGGAGACCAAGGCUGGCAAGUUCACCGGCAAGACCCUCCUUGAGGCCAUCGACUCCAUCGAGCCCCCCAAGCGUCCCACGGACAAGCCCCUCCGUCUUCCCCUCCAGGAUGUCUACAAGAUCGGUGGUAUUGGAACAGUUCCCGUCGGCCGUAUCGAGACUGGUAUCCUCAAGCCCGGUAUGGUCGUCACCUUCGCUCCCUCCAACGUCACCACUGAAGUCAAGUCCGUCGAGAUGCACCACGAGCAGCUCGUCGAGGGUGUUCCCGGUGACAACGUUGGUUUCAACGUCAAGAACGUUUCCGUUAAGGAAAUUCGCCGUGGUAACGUUGCCGGUGACUCCAAGAACGACCCCCCCAUGGGUGCCGCUUCUUUCACCGCUCAGGUCAUCGUCAUGAACCACCCUGGCCAGGUCGGUGCUGGCUACGCCCCCGUU